UACGGAGGGGGCGAGCGUUGUCCGGAAUUAUUGGGCGUAAAGAGCUCGUAGGCGGUUUGUCGCGUCGAAUGUGAAAACCCGGGGCUCAACCCCGGGCCUGCAUUCGAUACGGGCAGACUAGAGUUCGGUAGGGGAGUCUGGAAUUCCUGGUGUAGCGGUGAAAUGCGCAGAUAUCAGGAGGAACACCGGUGGCGAAGGCGGGACUCUGGGCCGAUACUGACGCUGAGGAGCGAAAGCGUGGGGAGCGAACAGG
rnacentral:rRNA from 1 species